CAAUUCGACGCAACGCGAAGAACCUUACCAGGCCUUGACAUCCCGAUUGCGGCCCCUUGAAAGAGGGGCUUUCAGUUCGGCUGGAUCGGUGACAGGUGCUGCAUGGCUGUCGUCAGCUCGUGUCGUGAGAUGUUGGGUUAAGUCCCGCAACGAGCGCAACCCUCGCCCUUAGUUGCCAUCAUUUAGUUGGGCACUCUAAGGGGACUGCCGGUGAUAAGCCGCGAGGAAGGUGGGGAUGACGUCAAGUCCUCAUGGCCCUUACGGCCUGGGCUACACACGUGCUACAAUGGCGGUGACAGUGGGCAGCUAAAGCGCAAGCUCAAGCUAAUCUCAAAAAGCCGUCUCAGUUCGGAUUGGAGUCUGCAACUCGACUCCAUGAAGUUGGAAUCGCUAGUAAUCGUGGAUCAGCACGCCACGGUGAAUACGUUCCCGGGCCUUGUACACACCGCC
rnacentral:rRNA from 1 species